rnacentral:rRNA from 1 species
UACGUAGGAGGCAAGCGUUGUCCGGAAUUAUUGGGCGUAAAGAGCUCGUAGGCGGUGUGUCGCGUCGGCCGUGAAAACCUGGGGCUUAACUCUGGGCGUGCGGUCGAUACGGGCAUCACUAGAGUUCGGCAGGGGAGACUGGAAUUCCUGGUGUAGCGGUGAAAUGCGCAGAUAUCAGGAAGAACACCCGUGGCUAAGGCGGCUCUCUAGUACGGUACUGACGCUGAGACGCGAAAGCGUGGGGAGCGAACAGG